rnacentral:lncRNA from 7 species
AACAAUACGGCGGGCCUGUGGCCUGGUGGAACAUUUUCUGAAGCUAUCACUCUUCUGAGGAGAUAAAGGAAAAACUCUCCCACCCCACUGCAGCUGAAUGACUGAGGUUGAGGAUCAGCACAAGAGCUGUUUGUUUUUGGAGACAGGAGAGCGGCAGCACUAUAGAAAAACUGAAGACUGGAGAAGAGCAAAUGAAGAAUGAAAGAAAUAGGAGGAGUGUGGAAAAAACUUUAUAAGCCGGAUAAAGGGGAGGAGUAGAAGAAAGAUGAGAAGAAAACUUCACAGGGUCAGACAGAAUCUGAUAAACUUUGACAAAAGCUUCAACACGCUUGGAAGGUGUUUUCUAAACCUUCUAGCCUUGUAACAUUUUCCCAUCAAUAGUCCAGAGGUGAAAUGAUUUAUGAAUACACAUGCUUACACAGUUCUCUGUGAGCAUCUUGAUAAGGUAAAUAUAUCACUCAGCAGGAAGCUUCAUUGCAUACUAGUCUCCUUCCUCAGAGAGAAAUUCUGUGUUGUGGGCCCCAGCUAGCCCUUUCUGACAUACACAGGGCGUGAAGUUUUGUUCUUCAUUAAAAAAUGUCCCAUCGAGAUGUUUAAAGACAGAUCUCCCUGUAAGGGUGAACACCCUGAAUUGCCCUCCAUCCAGUUCUUCUCCAUUUAAUUGGUAUAAAGCAGUUUCCCCUCGGCUACUUCCUCCCUUGAAAUUACACAAGUAGCCUCACUAGAAAGGCAUAGGUAAAUAUUUUAUACUGUGCACCAUGUGGAUUAGGAGCACAGCUCCCAUUAACCAGAGCUGGAAUCACGCAGCUGAUUUCCCCCUCACACUGUGCUUGAAGCAUACCCUACAGGAUGCAGAGACUGGGCUCCCAAGUGCCACCUUAUGAAGAAGGUGUGGAGCACUUUCAUUUAAUACUGCAUGUGUUUCCAUUAGCAGAGUCAAUUGCUCUCCAUCCUCAGUUUUAAGACUCCCUGUUUCUCUCUAUUACAGCUCUAUUUCCAAACACCAACCAAUCCUCCCUAGUCCUCCCGUCCGAGCCCACAAGGUUUUGAUGAUAUAACACCGCAGCAUCUUGGCUUUCAUUUGGUUUAAACUUUUUAUUCGCAAUUAUAGAUGUGCUGAACACUGAGCACUUCUAUUUCUCAUGAGCUUACUGCUGCUUAGGAAAGCUGAUGCACCUAGUGUAUUGGCAAUUUGGGGUGGCAGCUUAGGGGGUGUCAGUAGAGCAGAGGCCAGCAUAUCCUGAAACCUGCAAAGCACAUGGGGAAAAGAAUGUGGCUGCUACUUUGAUUGAGAGCAACUGUUCACACAGGCGUGGUUCCUACGGAGUAGAAAAUUUAUGUAUCUGUGUAAAUUCUAAGCUAAAACUAGAAAAGGUUCAUCCCAUAUGUAAAAAUAGAGUUGUGGUUAAUAUACCGUACACUGUGGUCAAUUACUACUCUGGGAAGUGGUGUCUCAGCUACCUGUGCGGUGCAAUACAGCAACUGCCAGACGUUGGCUUUCCUCACUUCCAUUUUUACCACAUAGCUAUCUCCUCCUGUCUAGGAAACUUACAAAAUAAAAUUCUGUCUGGUCUGUGCAAGUGGGGUUAUGUCACCGCAGGUAAUAACAAACUUGAGUGUCCAUUCAUGAAGCAAUCUUAAAGAAUGGUUUUGUUCUAAUUCAAAAUUUUAACUUUCAGAAAAUUAAAAUUUCCUCUUUUCUAAUGCGGUAAUUUUAAAAAAUAAAAAUAUCCAGAAAAAGGUUUUAC